rnacentral:rRNA from 2 species
AGGCUAGCUUGCUAGCGCUGACGAGUGGCGGACGGGUGCGUAACGCGUAGGAAUCUGCCUAUUAGUGGGGGACAACAUGGUGAAAACCAUGCUAAUACCGCAUACGCCCUACGGGGGAAAGCGGGGGAUCUUCGGACCUCGCGCUAAUAGAUGAGCCUGCGUUAGAUUAGCUUGUUGGUGGGGUAAAGGCCUACCAAGGCGACGAUCUAUAGCUGUUCUGAGAGGAAGAUCAGCCACACUGGGACUGAGACACGGCCCAGACUCC